AGAAGUGUACAGCUUUGCGCAAGGGCAACUUCUCUGCAUGGCAGAGGUGAGGGGAAAUGAAAAUGAUGCUGGGACUAAGUGUCGCCUCUCUGAGAAGUGUCGCAGUCGCAGUCAUGUGGCAUGUCUGUUACAUUUCCCAGAAUGGUUCCCAGCGCUGGAGCUAAUUCCUUUUCGGAGAACCUACAUUUCUCACCUGCUGAUUGCAAUUAGCCACUGCCAGCUGGGGCCUGGUAUGCAGCGGAAAAGCUAACAAGAAGUAGAGACCGCGCGGAACCCAGACAGGGCAGAGGAUGUGCAUAAGUUUUGUUGAAACUGUCAACAGGGCAAGAGGUGAAUGCAGCAAAUCGUAAGGAGAAGACCUGAAUGAGGCAAGUGGCCACUCACCUUGUACCUGGGUCCCAAAUCCCCAGAGGCUCCAGGCUCAGCAACAGAUGCUCACAAUGAUGGCAACUGCUGAAGUUGAUGGGUAAUGAUUUUGCGGCAUCGUCUCCACUGACUCGGGCCCUCCUCCACCCUGGCUGCUGCUGAAGACCCCAGGAAGCAUGGCCCUGACCUCUGUUUAGUCUCCAUUCAGGAGCAGCCGGCCACCAUGUUGUAAGGCAACCCUGUGCCUGAGGCCAGCCAGCAGCCCUAAGAGUGGGCUUAGGAGCAGAUCCUGCCCCCACCGAGCCUGGAAAUGGGACUGCAACCCCAGUGAUACCUGGACUGAAGCCUCGUGAGGGACACCGAGCCAGAGAACCCAGCUAAGCCGCGUCCAAAUUCCUGACCUUCAGAGAUGGGUUUGGGCCUGAGGUGUGUGAUGAUCCCAUCUGCGCUCUUGUAUCUCACGAGGCCGAUGAAGCCGCACCUUCAGGACUGCUCACUUGCGUGGACCUCUUUUUUGUACAUUUGCGAAAGUACAAGUGCGGCGUGUGCUUGGACAACCCUCGGGCCCUCUACAUAUAAGCGAUUUAUAGCCGGGUCUGAAUGGAUUGGAAUCAGAUGGCAAAACCCAGAUUAACCCCCUGGAUCCUGGUGGCCAUUGGUCAGUCUUUGCUGUUAAUGAUACUUUCACCCGAGUGAAUGCAUUAAAGACGUUCCUUUUAAGAUAAAUAUGCAGCUCGGUCCCUGAUGUCUGCCUGUCGCAAAAACGUGUGAUGGGAGACCAAAUGUCAAUAAAAUCUCCCUGCCCGCCUCAACCCGGUACAUAAUCAGCUCGAAGGUAAAUAAAUGCAAAGGAAUGCAAAGCCAGAGACGUUAGCGUACUCGCCAGAGCCACACCAGUAAUAAGAGGCAGAGCCAGAGUUGCAACCCAGUCAGCUGCGGCGUCUACCUCUCCCCAGCCUCCCAGCCUGGGAAAUUCAAGAAAUCGAAUGCAUCAUCUCUGAGGGGAAAAGGAGAUAAAGGUCCAGAACCCAUCCAAACGCUUCGUUUGGACCAGAAAGCAUGUCUUAUGAAAUAUCUCCUGGCAGGUAAUCGGACACAUUAAUAUAAUAUUGCUGUGCUGAAAAUAUCGCACAAAGUGGGAUAAAUAACGACUCUCAAAAGCCUCCCAUCAGCUCAAACCAGGUGCUGCUGCCAAAUACAUUUGGGUGAAACUUAGACAAAACCUUUGGGUUUCUGUUGCAGAUAAGGGAUUGUGGCUCGGUAGUAAGGAGAAUUUCCAAAACUAGAGCCAGUGUGACAGGGGCGAGAAGGUGGAGGUUACUAAGCAUUUGCAAAAUAAUACAGCAGUGGGACCCUUCUGCCCAGCUCCUACCCAGGGCACAGUGACCAGCAGGGGGCCACCGGGGCCCCCCACUUCCUGAUAAAGUACCCAUGUCGCCUUAGAGCCCCUCUUGGUGUUACAAUCGAAACAUUAUGGGCAGUUGAAUUGUCCUGGGGAUCUUAUAAAAAUGCAGAUUCUGAUGCAGUGGGUCUGGGAUGGGGCCCGGUCAUCUGCAUUUGUAACACGGUUCGAUGCUGCUGGUCUGUGGAUGGCACUUUGAAUAGCGAUGCCGUAGAGUCGAUUCGAUCGAACCAAAGUGGAUCUCCAUAUACUUCCACCCAUCGGUCAUGACGGUCACAGGGAGUGUGUCCAGUUGCCCUCUAACUCAUCAGGUUGUGAUCAAGGGCCAGCAGGGAGAAAGUGACUGGGCAGGGUGGUGGGACUCAGAGGGGGAAAGACCAUCCUCCUUUGCGAGCAUGAAGACUUGAGUGAUGGAGCGAUCAGGACUGGAGAGCAAAUAAGAGCUUCCUGAGAGCAGAACAAAGGAGCAGAUACCCGCAUGUGACUGCUUAAUGUCCUCCUGUUGCUCUUGGACCCUAUGAUGGCCUGUGAAGAGCCCCAGGGCUGGCCUGGCAGAGGAAGAGAGCCACCCGAGCCAAGAUACCAGCUGGACGGACCCAUAAAUGAGCCCAGCUCAGACCCGAAGGAGCCACUGGCCAAGCCACAGACGAGUGAGCGAUCAUAAAUGGCCAUCCUUUAGAGCACUCAGUCUUGGGGUCGUUGGUUAAAAAACAACCACUCACCGAGACAGGUGCCACAAGCUCUUGAAUAGCAACGUUCUCACCAUCUUACCCCAGGGGGAUGGCACUGAAGAAGGAACCCAAAUUGAUGCAGAAAAUACCAGCCCCCCCAGCCCUGUGGUCCCUCCCCCUAAAUUUCCACCCUCAGCCUCCGAUUUUUCCCAUCUCUCAGCUACGUACAUACCUCCUCCAGGGACACAGAGGGAAGCCCUGGGGGACCUCUCCGUUCCUCGCCCUGUGGGCAGAGGGUAGGAAUAGCGAGCGGUCGCAAGGGACGGCCACACGCGCUGCGUGAGCUGGGAGAGGCGUGGGGGUGGAGGAAGACGCAGCCCUUGGGGCUAGUUGAUGCCUUUAAAACAUGCAGACGUACAGAGAGAACGAACGAGGCUUUUCUAUUAUAAAAUAUGUGCUUAGCAUAUUUAUGUAAUAGUUUCACCACGUGCAGUGAAUUGAGUUCCUGCAUUAGGGAAGGAGCUUUGCAUCGCUGCUUCGGACACACUUUGGCGGGUCCACAGCCUCUGUGCAGGUGGUCCGUAUGCACCAAAGAACCCCUGGUGGCUUGUGGGGGGCGGGGGGGUGGCCUGGCCACAGGCCGUGCCUGGUUUUUUAGCUUCACUUUGAGAAUCUCUCCUAGGUUGUCCCCCAUGAAAAACACACAUGAGGGUGUUUCGUGCAGGGAGCCCCCUUCAGGGCGCUGGUGGGGGUGGCGGCUGUUUGCUGGGAGCAGCCCCCAGAAAGAUGGGGUGCUGGAAACAUGGGAAGAUGGCCGCUGGGAUCCCGAGGGUCUGGCCUGGUGGGGCUUCAGGAUGGAGUAAGAUGCUACGAGAUGUGGGGUUCCGGUACCAUGUGGCCCAUCCCCCCUUUCUCCCCACAAAAGCCCCUUCCAUUUUCUUCUGACUCUUUUCUCCCCUUCUCUCCCUCCUUCUCUCUCAAUCUCUUUCCCCUUAACUUUUUCUAUCUUAAUUGGCCAUAACAUGGAAGUGAAAUUCUUUUUAUUAUCUACUAUAUUUAUUGAAUACAGUUUUAUGUUCCUCGCUCUUAAUUUUUAAAGUGGAUGAGCUGAACACUUUAUGGUUUUCUUUCAGAAAAUUUUAUAUCGCAGCGGUAGGCAUUAGGGCUGUUCACAAAUAGUCGGUUUGGGCUCAUGCCUGGGUGGGACACCCGCUCUUACUUGGGGGUUACCUCUCUGUGUGGGACUUCUUUGGCCCAGUUAAAUGUGAGCGCUCCCGGGGGAAGGGGGGGCGUGGAGCCUUGACAAUCAGCACCUUGCUCUCCUCCUGCUGCUGCGGUGAUGGGGUAGCUGAGGUGGGAGGUGAAAACUUUCUCAGCCUGGGGAUCUGAGUGACUGCGGGGGGCAUGGAACUUGAAUCAGGAGGAAGCUGUUUUAUAUUAAGCCACUGCAUGUGUUACCGCAGCCUCAUCUGACUUAUUCUGACUGAAGCAGUUAUUGUACCUCGCUUGACAGUCUUUUGUUUUAUUGCUUUUUAGGCCUGCACCUGUGGCACAUGGAGGUUCCCAGGCUAGGGGUCAAAUCGGAGCUGUUGCUGCCGGCCUACACCACAGCCACAGCAAUUCGAGAUCUGAGCCGCAUCUGCGACCCACACCACAGCUCACGGCAACGCCGGAUCCUUAACCCACUGAGCGAGGCCAGGGAUCGAACCCGCAUAUCCUCAUGGAUACCAGUCAGGUUUGUUACCGCUUAGCCGUGAUGGGAACUUCUGACAAUCUUCUCUAAUAAGAAAUCAUUUACGUGAUGCUAAAAUCAUUAUCUGUGUCAAUUUUUUUCACCUCUGCGGGGGCGGGGGGUCAGGAUUCCUUUGAGAAUCUGAUAAAAUGAUGAGCACCCUCCCCACUCCCACCCCCACCCCGGGGAAUGGACACGUGACAUUUUGCAUAUAGUCACAGGCACUGGUUCCCUCCAGAGUACAAAAGCCCUCUCCAGUCUGGGAAGCAGACGCUGGAUCCUCACUGCUCCUGCUGGGCAUGCGGGCUGGAGUGCCGGCAUCGAGCCUGCUUUCCUCCUGGUCCUCGCCUCUGCCUGCACAUCGCAGGCACAGCAUCCUGACGGUUCUAGCGGCGCCCUAAUGACAGAAGCUGCGCAUCAUUUCCAUUGCUGGAUCCGCGGCAAUCACUGCAAUGUAGAUCAUGAGGUUUCCAUGGAAGUUUCCUAGGGUUGGAAUGCACUUCUUCAGGGAUGUCCUUGGCAGCAGACAGGGCUUUGGACACUUCUGGGGCCACAUCUCAGACACCCCCCGCCCCCGGUCAAGGUAGAACUCAACAUAAAGACUGGCAGGGCGUGGAGGGGUUCGGCAGAAUGCAGUGGCAAAGCACUUGACCAUGACCCCGCAGGCUCGUCCUGGUGGGUUUCUCUGGGCCGAGAGCACUUCCUUGAUCUCUGCCACUCGCCCUACAUCUGGAAGAAUGCCUUUUUUCACUCCAACACACGUGACACCUUUUGGCCUUUCUGAAUGUCAGUUUCGUCAUUUGCACAGCUUCAAUCGCUGACUGAAAAAAAUUCACUUGCAAGCUGGUUGUUCAGAACUGGGAACGACGUCCCCCAUGAAAACAGCCUAUAAAAUUGUGGUCAUUCUCCUUAGACAAAUCCCCAAAGUCUACCAGAGGCAGCUGAGGACUACAAAUUUUGGAAGCCUAAAUGUAGGAGUCUGUGCAGUGUGACAGAAGAGAGGGAAUCUGCCUUCUUUUUUUUCCCCUUUUUUAGGGCCGCACCUGCGGCAUAUGGAAGAUCCCAGGCUGGGGAUCUAAUCAGAGCUACAGCUGCCGGCCUACACCACAGACAAGGUAACAUAGGAUCUGAGCCCCAUCUCUUGGCAAUGUGGGAUCCUUAACCCCCUGAGGGAGGCCAAGGAUCGAACCCACACCCUCACAGACACUAUGUCAGGGUCUUAAUCCACUGAGCCACAGCGGGAACUCUGGUAUCUGCCUUCUUAUCCAUUUUCAAUUUCUCAUCUCCCUCCCUUCAUCCAGAGCCUCGGUCCCUGUAAGCCUCUUCCCAUCCCCAAGGCACGCUAUUCCUAAAAUCACCCCUCUUUCUCCAAACUUUACUGUCUCAGCAUAGCUGAACCCAAAAAGGUAUUCAGAGGAAAGCCAUUUUCUUGGACUAAUUCUCACUAAAAUGUGAAGGGCUGGGAACUCCUUCAUCCUCUUGGAAGUGUUGCUGUUUUUAAGAAGAUAAAUCUCAGGGAGUUCCUGUUGUAGCUUGGUGGUUAAUGAAUCUGACUAGCAUCCAUGAGGACACAGGUUCGAUCCCUGGCCUUGCUCAGUGGGUCAAGGAUCUGGUGUUGCCGUGAGCUGUGGUGUAGGUCACAGACACGGCUCAGAUCUGGCGUGGCUGUGGCUCUGGCGUAGGCUGGUGGCUACAGCUCCAAUUCGACCCCUAGCCUGGGAACCUCCAUAUGCCAUGGGUGCGGCCCGAAAAAG
rnacentral:lncRNA from 1 species